rnacentral:rRNA from 1 species
UACGGGGGGGGCAAGCGUUGUUCGGAAUUAUUGGGCGUAAAGGGCGCGUAGGCGGUGCGGCAAGUCUCCUGUGAAAUCUCCCGGCUCAACUGGGAGGGUGCGCCGAAUACUGAGAGGCUAGAGUGUGGGAGAGGAAAGUGGAAUUCCUGGUGUAGCGGUGAAAUGCGUAGAUAUCAGGAGGAACACCGGUGGUGUAAACGGCUUUCUGGACCAUAACUGACGCUGAGGCACGAAAGCGUGGGUAGCAAACAGG